GACAGAGGCCUCAAGCGUUAGGCGGAAUCACUGGGCUUAAAGCGUGUGUAGGCGGACGCCUAAGUGUCUUGUGAAAUCCCACGGCUCACCCGUGGAACUGCUGGGCAUACUGGGCGUCUUGGGCCAACUAGGGGCAGCCGGAACAAGCGGUGGAGCGGUGAAAUGCGCAGAUAUCAGGAGGAACACCGGUGGCGAAGGCGGGUCUCUGGGCAGUAACUGACGCUGAGGAGCGAAAGCGUGGGGAGCGAACAGG
rnacentral:rRNA from 1 species